CUCCAUAUUAAAUGAAACAGAAGAGUCCUCCCCUUACUCACAACUGGCAGCAUCCAAGAAUAAGCUGAUACAGGAAGAAAUGUAACGGCCUUCAGAAAUACUUAAAAACUGAAGACCUGCUCAACAGAAAGUCAAUAAAUACAGAGAAAAAAGCCUCUCGUAUUCAAAGACUGCAUCUAGGUGCAGUCCGAAAAUGGAGAAAGCCUGACUGCAACAAAUUAUUUCAUUCAUUCAGUGAAGACUGAUCAUUUUCAGAGAUCUUAUGGAAAAUAUUUAUAAACUUACAGUGAAAGUAACAACCUCAGGAAUUAAUGUAACUCAUAUGAUGUGAGUAAAUGAUAGUCUGUAAACUGCUCUUCACAGUAAAGACAGCAUUUCUAAAUUACAAGGAGUAUAUUGCUAAUAGAUUUUAACAUAGGAAGUGCAACACUGCCUUAUUCUUAAGAAACUAAAGGGAUAACCCUUAGUAAGAGCUGUUUAACACAGCUGGAACAUCUACUUCAAAUGUUAAAGUAAUAUAAUACUCCAGCUAUUGACCAGGUAGGUCUGACAGCAGUCACCAGACACAGGUCGCUUGUGUUAGAACCACCAUCGGCAGCUGUGCUGACUGACAGUCACUGGUCGGUCAGAUGAUUUCCACCAUCCUACUUCUGGUUUACUGUGACCUUGUCUGAACUGCUGGGACAGCCAGAAAAACCCUCACAGCACAGGCUGAAACAUUUCUAAAUAUCAUUUUCUAAUAUCCUUCUGCAUAAUGCAAAAAAAGCUCUUGAGCAUUUCAAAAACACAUCAGAACUAGCGUAACACACAGCUUACAAACUCCUAAGUCUGAAAACAUUUCAAGCUGUAAUUUCUCUCCCACAUAGUAAUUUGAAUUUCAUCUGUAUAUAUUAGACAUUUUGUUCUUCAACAGCACAAUAAAAAUGUAAUUACUUCAGUAUUCCUUCCGAUCGCUCAGACAUUUUUGUCAUCUAACAGUCACUGAAGUUCAUUCAUCAGAGUGUUUCUAAACACUGGCUGAAGCAAUUCACCAACACCAAAACACACCAAGUGCUUCAUCAUUGAAAAAUCAGCAAAAAAAAAAGCUGAAAAAUCUAAUGCCUCUCCUUCCUCAAAGACAUACUUUUGAAUUCCAUUAAAAGGUAUUUUUGCAAAAACAUACCAAAAAAAUCCCAGACCCCACACUAUACUGUAUACUGUAAAAAAAGAAUGUAUGUAUUGUACGGCGCUUUAUCCAUCCCCGUUUUCAGAUUUCUAGUUGUGUGUUGCCCACAUUUGCUUCUGCUCAGAACUUUCUCUGUGCAGAGAAAGAUGCGCUGCUGACUGCUGUAGGUUGUUACCAUCAACAUUUCAACACCUUCCAGAGUCCACCUUCCUGUUUUUCCAGUUGUGCAAAUGACUUCUUAAAACUAGGCCUGCUUUACAGGACCUGGUAAGAAAGCAGUCAAAUGGUUAAGCUGGUGAAACUGAGAAAGGGUGGAACAUCUGGCAGAGGAAGGAGGGAGUCGUUAACCACUCAACUCAGAUCUGCCGCAGCCAGAACAGCUCAGCUUGUCGCACCACGCUGAUCCGAGUGCAGGAGAAAUCAGCAGUUACACUGCAUUAUUCACAAAAGCAGAGAAAGAUGGCUGAAGCCAUCUACAGAUGUAGAGUGAUUCUCUGAAGCUUGUUUCAUAGUGGAAGAUUUUUAAUUCCUGCAGCCACGUGGGUGGUUUGCAUUUUGCACGAACUGACUGCAUUUGCUCACUUUCAUAAACUGACAGCGUCUGCAGCUCACAGUGUAACUGCUGCUUCAACUGACACAGAUGCAAAGAAUUAAUGUAAAUAACCCAUACACAUCCAGAAACGACCAAUACUGAACAGUAAGUAAUGACUUCUCAUUAAUUAUUUACCUGAAACAAGGUGACCGUUACCAUUACAAAUAGGUUAUUAAAAUCCUUUUGCUGAACAGAAACCCCUGAUGAAAUUGCAGCAUGUGAUAUGUUAACCUACAAAACAGUUUUCAAUCAUUCCCAUAACGUCACAUAGUUGUGUGAUGUUGUAACUAUAUUCAGUAUUUACCUUAAAUGUAUCAGCUGAACUCCAGAAAAACUGGACUUUUUUGCAGAAGUAAAAGCAAGGUCCAAACCCACUUGUUGCCUGCUCAGCUUUGCUUUUGGACCAAUUUAUCAGUAUUUCGUGGUAGCAAGCAUUGUUAUCACAUUCAUCACUUGUAUCACACUGUGAGGGCAUUCCUUUUGAUAAUCUGGUUUAAGUUAUUUUUCUCAUGGAUGUGUUUUUAAGAUUUUUUUUUUUUUUUAAGAAAGAGCCCUGAAAAACAAGCUAUGGAAGUAUUUCCUACCAAGUAACAUGGUACCAUAAUGAACACCCAAAUGCUCUGAAAUAAUUAAAGAGAUUUAUUGGUCAAAAAUAUAACACACAAGUGGUACAAUUCAAGAGAAAUGUAGUCAUUAUAAAGAUUCUGUUAAUUUCUGUACAGUAAUUUUGGCAUAUUCAGAAAGCUCCAUGUCCACAACACACUCACUCUGAGCCCCUCUUUCACUGUGUUAUCACCGAAGAAAGAUGAGCAAAUAAAGCACAAAUUCUGCUUUGCUUUCACACUUACAAAGUGACUUACGUGCACAAAUCAAAUACAUGGAGAAAGGCUGCUAAUUCACUACAUACAAAAAUACUGCUAUCUGUACAACUUGCACAGUGCUUUAAAACAAAGUGAGAUUACUGUGACACAGCACGUCCACACGGAUUACAUUUAAGUGUGAACGCUUUGUAAGACAUAACUCACUAUGAGUACUCAUCAGUGACAUUUAUAGAUCUCCUUGCUUAUGCUAAGUCACAGCCAUCACUUUCCUAAAGCUGUACUAACAUCUGUUUCCAAAUCCUGAAGACCAUCAGCAUGUGUUUAACUUUGUGCAAUGAGUGUGAUGUCAUAAACAGACGCUUAAAGCUUUGCAGGAUUAGGACCUCAUCAAACAAUACAUUUUCAUAUUCUAUGAAAGGGGAGCAAAAUAAAGGAUAGAGCCAGCAAUGCCCGUGCCUCCCUGGCUGUGUGUCAGUGUCUCUCUGCGGAUAGGAAAUAUUGAGAAAGUCAUCACUUUGUGACAUGUAAGAGCCUUUAAGAGCAAGAACUGGACUUCAGUGGAAUAUACCACCUGGAACUCUAUUUUCACAAAUUUCUCUGCUUUUGAAUUUUUCUUGAGCUCUUUUUCAUUUACAGUAAGAUUGUCUGGCAGACUGACUUUAACGUCUCUAGAAUUUUUAAUCGAGUUUUCAGCAACUGUUUCCUAGCCUUCCAACAACAAAAAUGCCACUGCCCACCUUUUUCAUGAUGACAGAUCAUGGCUGAUUACGUUGCAAAUUCCCUUUUGGAUAAAGGAAGAAAAAACGAGCCUGCCUUUUUUUUUUCCACGUUUGGUUCAUUUGUGUUUCACUGUUCGGUGUGAAGAUCAAAAACGAGCUCAACUCUGACUCCUCUCUCUCCGUUGCCUUUGGCAUCAUGCCCAGAUUUAAAACCAGUUUUCAAACAUUUAAUUGGCGGCUUUAGCCAAGUACCCAAAUGUGAGAUCUUAAAAUAUGGAGUAAACUAUCAGAGAGAUUCAGCUCAUCACACAAGUGCACAACUGUUAAAUUAACAUCUGGAUUUAAUAACAAUAAUCUGAACACAGUUUAACAUAUUCUGCAAUGUGAGUUUGUUUCAGAGAUUCAGGAUACGGAAGAUUUUUGUGGUGGUGGCUCAGACAGCCUCACUGUAACUUUACAGCAGCUGUCAAUAUCACAAAAGAAAAAUUUGAAAAACUUUUGCUCCAAAGUGACUAUGAAGGAAUAGUCCUAAGAUGAUAAAAACCGCUCAGGAAUCAAUGUCAGGAAGUCAAGCUCACUAUGCUUGAUGCAGCACAGAAAAAUCUCAUGUACAGAUGCAAAGAUGAAACGUUUAUUUUGUGAUGAAAAGAUGAAAUGUUGAUUUGCAAACAAGCUUAAUUCUAGUUGUUCAGGCAUGUUGCUAAAAGAGUAACAGACAUAUUCCCUGUAAGAAUCAAGGGUUGCAGACAGACUACACCUAGCACUGUAUUUACCAUGACAGAAACAAAGGAAAAUGUCUUGCCCCCAGCUUCAUGCUGGAAAAGCAAGAAGUCCUGGCAACUUAUCUGAGUUCUUGCCUCCAUGGGCCUAAAGCACUCAGCAUUAAGUUCACCACUUCAAUUAUACAUGAGAACAAUUCCCAUUGCUUUCAGAAGAAUAGUGUACCAGGCUGUUCUGUGUUACCUAAGCCUAUAUUUUGGUUAUCAUGAAACAUGAUUCCCCUGUACUCGGCCCUGGUGAGGCCUCAUCUCAAGUGCUGUGUUCAGUUUUGGGCACAUCAAUGCCGAAAGGACAUGGAAGUGCUGGAGCAGGUCCAGAGAGGGGCAACGAGGCUGUGAAGGGCUUGGAGAAUGUGGCCUAUGAGGAGAGACUGAAGGAGCUGGGGCUGUUUGGUCUGGGGAAAAGGAGGCUGAAGGGAGACCUGAUUGCUCUCUUCCAAUACCUGAAAGGUGAUUGCAGCAGAGCGGGGCUGGUCUCUUCUCACUGGUGACAGGACAAGGGGAAAUGGCCUCAAGUUGUGCCAGGGGAGGUUUAGGUUGGAUAUCAGGAAAAACUUAUUUACAGAAAGGUUAUUAAGCGCUGCAAUGGGCUGCCCAGCAAGGCUUUAGUCACCAUCCCUGGAUGUGUGUAAAAUCCAUUUGGAUGCGGUGCUCAGGGCCGUGAUUUAGCAGAGGGCUGUUAGAGGUAGGGGAGUACGGUUACACUGAGGUUGGACUCCAUGGCCUUGGCGGUCUUUUUCAACCUGAGCAAUUCUGUGAUUAAUAUGCCUAGAAAGCAUUAUUAUUAAUCAGCACAGAACAAAGUGCAGUGCAACUACAAAAAAGAGAGGACUGUUUAUAUUUACCCUUAGUAUGGAGCAGAAUUGCAAAUUACUACACCGUGAUUAGAAAGAGACAAUUUAAUACAAGGUCUGCUCUGAAAGUAAUGCCUCCUAUCUUGUGAUGUCAGCCCUGACGUCAGCGGCAGCUGUUGGUGGGAUGGCAGAGGCUGAACCUGCCCACCAACAUUCCGUGACAGGUUGUUGCUGUGUGACAGAUGGCAGCAGAGGGGCACUGGGACAGAAUGGCGCCUGACAUGGAAGUGUUGGGGGAGCGAAGGGUGGAGCUGAAUUCCUCCAUGUGGAAAAAAGGGCCCUCAACAACUUUCAUCAGCACUUGUGAACAUUAAUGGAAACCAAACAGUGGCUGUUAGUACAGUGAGGCAGUAGGUGGUGCAUUUCAGCAGUGGCAAUAGUGAUGUGAAAGACUAGUCAUGUUUCAGAUGGGCACACGGGUUUUUACGAGCACGGCAUGCAGGGUCUUGUUUAUCACUGGCAAAAAAAGCGUAACUACUACUGGUGACUAUGUUGAAAAUUUGUGUUUUGUAGCUGAGAAUUUGCUCUCUCAAGUCAUGUUGUGCCCUUCGUGUCUGCUGUAGUUUUCACUGAAAUAAUUAGGAGGUAUUACUUUUGGAGUGACCUCCGUAUUUCCACUGGUGUAGUUCUACAAUAUUCAAAUGGACCAUGACUACAUUUUCAUUCAGUAUCUUCCUAUUUACUAAGAUCAUCAAUUAUUCAUUUCUAAUGCUACACUUGCCUCUUCUGAUAGAACAGUUAAAUAAGAUUAAGUGACUUGAAAUUACACAACAAAAACUGAAAUAGUAUUUUAAUUUGAUUUUAUUAUUUCAUUUAUUCAUUUACUAAUUAUUUUAGAGCUAAGUGCUUAUCAAAUGAGAUUACUCUCCCUGAAAACUAGGAUUUGUUAGCAGUCCAAGCUUCCAGUAACUCCAGUUUCCCAACUGUGCCUCACUUGCCACCCUCGCCAGACAAUUGACAGGCUGUCCUAUAUGGCCAGUCCAGAGUGAAUAUUUCUGACUGUCCAGACAGCUGCUGCCAAUCAGAGUUCUGUCUGACGAGGACUUCUCUACUAAACAUCAAACUUAGGAGUAUGGUUACAAAAUCAGCUGAGAUAUUUCUCUCAGAAGCCAGUUAACUUGUCCAAAAAAUUUAAAAAAAAGUACAGGCAAGGCAGGAGAUAGCACCAUCCAAUUCAAAACCCUCUAGAAGCCAGCCAAGUCACAUCUCGGGUUCUCUUCCAUCAAAUGAAGCAAUAGGCUUUCACAAGUGAUUAGGUGAAGCAUAGAGAAAUCAUACACUGAAUAUUUCCAAGCCCAUUAUUGGUAGCUUUCACUGCAUUUUAUGACCAGGGGAGAAAUGUGAUUCCAUGAAGUAUUUUGAUACCAUUUGCACACUAGGAAAGUCAAACGUACCCCAUCAUUCAUUGUGGUUACACAAACGGCAAGUUAGCAUAAAGGCAGACCACCACACUCCUAGAGCCAUAAUUAAAAAUUCUUAGUAAACUCUGGAAAUUAUCUUUGCUUUUUAAGUCAGACUGCACUAAAUUAUUCUCACUACAUUCCACUGUCUGGCUGGGAUAUUCCAGUGGUAGAUUCCAGUUUGGCUUAGGCUGCAAGCAGAUCUGUUGGAAUACAUCAAUGCUCCAGAUUCAUACUAUUUUCUGCACACAUCCAGAAGAUUUUGUACUUGUUGCUCUUCUUGCAGGCUCUUAAGUGGUUCUUAGCCAUAAAAUUUGUCUGGCUUUUUCAGCAGAGAUGAAAUAACGCUCUGUUUUAUCUUAGAAAGGCCUCAGAAAUGAUCAAGGAGGCGUGAAUCAUGGCCUGAACCUCUGAUUGAUCACCUGAGGCGAGCACUGAGUCAGCCCUGGGAGCACAGGUGCAGGCAAUUCACCAUGCUGCUGGAAGGGGUGGAGCCUGGCUGCACCUCUCCUAGACCCAAUUAAAAGCUGACUACCAGUGGGGAAGGGUCUCUUUUUGGAGAUCCCUCCUUUGGAGUUUCACAGCAAGCCCAGGACACAGAAAGGAAAUCUCUCUUCUUGGCAAAAUUUCUAACUUCCAGAAGUAUGCGUCCAUUAGAGAACAGAGGGCGAUUCUUGCCACGCACACUGGGGGAAAAAGUGUGGAGAGAGAGAGAGGUGAUGAAUGCCGCCUGCUGAAGGACUGGUGUCCCUGAAUUCAACGCGAGUUCUGCUUUCCCUUCUGUUGACAUUAGAAGUCUGAAAAAUGGAGCAGGAAGUGAACACGUUAGCAUUUGUUUUGGUGCUUACCAUGUAACAUGUACAAGGAGAGCUGCUAUGUGACUGAAAGAAAAGCAAACUCUACAGAAUGAGAUGCAGUCUUUAAUUCCUCCACUCCAUGUUCAUCCCCCAUAGUAAGUACCUAUAGGCGAACACUGACAUUUAUAUUGAUGGUGCAGGUUACAUUCAUCACGCAUUUAAUUACGUGUGGGACAACUCAUGUUUUAAAUUGGAUUAUCUCUGCAGUAUAACCUUUUCUUUUUUGUUUUAAUGACCUUGCUGGAUAUUUGCUUUUUGCCGCUACUGGCCAACUAAAGGACACCAUAUUAGAGAGAAGGAAGAAUAGUGGGACCGGGGCAAGCGUCUGCCAUCAGUAGUAACAUAAUUAAAUGGAGAAGAAUUCUGUUACGUUCUUACCAUGUAUAAAAUUUGACUGUUCAUCUGAUUUACCAUGGCGUCAGCAAGUGAAUGCAGAACAGCAAAUAUGUUUAGGAAAUCUUAAUCCAAAGGGAUUUUUUUCUUGUUUCAAGCGCAUGUAUUUAUUUUAGAAAUUGCAGUAGUCUUUAAGGAUGGAGUUGUGAAUUUUAUGUGGAAAAUAUCAGUGGGUAUGUCCUAGUGUGAUAAGGAUUUUAUUCAUGAUACUACUGAAAGCUUGAAAUGCUCUCUUAUAUUUCCGUUUUCUCCUAUGAUCCCAAUGUUAAUCCACUAGGGAGAUGAACACAGCGAAAGGAGCUCCCAUGCGUGUGCAGCUGACUGUGCACAUCUAAAUUUUGAGCAUGGACAUCUGACCUGCCAUGAGUUACAAAGAAAUCCUAGUGAUAAAUCCUGUGCAGAACGGGCUUUGAAUUUUGUGUUAUUCAUUAGCAAUACCUCUUUGUAUGUAUACAUACUUUCUUAUUUGUAGCAUGUGUAUAUUAUAUACAGUAACUUUUUAAGUGAGCAGAAGGACUCAGUACUACUUCAUCAUGCUUAUCUUUUACUUGUAACUGGAGAGCUGCUUUGAUGUAUAAACGUUCCCGUA